rnacentral:rRNA from 1 species
AUUGAACGCUGGCGGCAGGCUUAACACAUGCAAGUCGAGCGAGCGGCGGACGGGUGAGUAAUGUAUGGGGACUGCCCGAUAGAGGGGGAUAACUACUGGAAACGGUAGCUAAUACCGCAUACUAUCGGAUAACCCAUAUGGGAUUAGCUAGUAGGUGAGGUAAUGGCUCACCUAGGCGACGAUCCCUAGCUGGUCUGAGAGGAUUAUCAGCCACACUGGGACUGCGACACGGCCCAGACGCCUACGGAGGCAGCAGUGGGGAAUAUUGCACAAUGGGCGCAAGCCGGAUGCAGCCAUGCCGCGUGUAUGAAGAAGGCCCUAGGGUUGUAAAGUACGUUCAGUCGGGAGGCGUUACCGACAGAAGAAGCACCGGGUAACUCCGUGCCAGCAGCCGCGGUAAUAC